CUGAAGGCAACACAGUCACUUCACAGCUCCCUUUAAAGCCAGCCUCAGAGAGGAAGCUAAAAGAGAACUCCCCCAAAGUGCCCAGUCUGCACGACCUGCUCAUGAUGGAAAUAAAACAGCCACAGAAGCUUCGGCCAUCUUCCACAGAGAGAAAUGGGAGCAGGCACAAAGAUACCUUUGUGAUUCCAGUGUUUUCCUUGAAUUCCCCAUGUGGCAAUGGCUUAUCUGUCCAAAAUGCCAGUACAGGACUUACAAUUCACAAAGUCCAAAAACAGAUGCUGAUCCCUGACUUGCUGGUCCCAGAAUUUCAGGAAGCAGACGGGGCAUUGAAAUACAAUUUGGG
rnacentral:lncRNA from 1 species